UACGUAGGGCGCAAGCGUUGUCCGGAAUUAUUGGGCGUAAAGAGCUCGUAGGUGGUUUGUUACGUCUGCUGUGAAAACCUAGGGCUUAACCCUGGGCCUGCAGUGGAUACGGGCAGACUAGAGGUAGGUAGGGGAGAAUGGAAUUCCCGGUGUAGCGGUGAAAUGCGCAGAUAUCAGGAGGAACACCGGUGGCGAAGGCGGGUCUCUGGGCCGAUACUGACGCUGAGGAGCGAAAGCAUGGGUAGCGAACAGG
rnacentral:rRNA from 1 species